ACCACUGACACGGAACAACGGCAAACACGCCGCCGGGUCAGCGGGGUUCUCCUGAGAACUCCGGCAGAGAAAGCAAAAAUAAAUGCUUGACUCUGUAGCGGGAAGGCGUAUUAUGCACACCCCGCGCCGCUGAGAAAAAGCGAAGCGGCACUGCUCUUUAACAAUUUAUCAGACAAUCUGUGUGGGCACUCGAAGAUACGGAUUCUUAACGUCGCAAGACGAAAAAUGAAUACCAAGUCUCAAGAGUGAACACGUAAUUCAUUACGAAGUUUAAUUCUUUGAGCGUCAAACUUUUAAAUUGAAGAGUUUGAUCAUGGCUCAGAUUGAACGCUGGCGGCAGGCCUAACACAUGCAAGUCGAACGGUAACAGGAAGAAGCUUGCUUCUUUGCUGACGAGUGGCGGACGGGUGAGUAAUGUCUGGGAAACUGCCUGAUGGAGGGGGAUAACUACUGGAAACGGUAGCUAAUACCGCAUAACGUCGCAAGACCAAAGAGGGGGACCUUCGGGCCUCUUGCCAUCGGAUGUGCCCAGAUGGGAUUAGCUAGUAGGUGGGGUAACGGCUCACCUAGGCGACGAUCCCUAGCUGGUCUGAGAGGAUGACCAGCCACACUGGAACUGAGACACGGUCCAGACUCCUACGGGAGGCAGCAGUGGGGAAUAUUGCACAAUGGGCGCAAGCCUGAUGCAGCCAUGCCGCGUGUAUGAAGAAGGCCUUCGGGUUGUAAAGUACUUUCAGCGGGGAGGAAGGGAGUAAAGUUAAUACCUUUGCUCAUUGACGUUACCCGCAGAAGAAGCACCGGCUAACUCCGUGCCAGCAGCCGCGGUAAUACGGAGGGUGCAAGCGUUAAUCGGAAUUACUGGGCGUAAAGCGCACGCAGGCGGUUUGUUAAGUCAGAUGUGAAAUCCCCGGGCUCAACCUGGGAACUGCAUCUGAUACUGGCAAGCUUGAGUCUCGUAGAGGGGGGUAGAAUUCCAGGUGUAGCGGUGAAAUGCGUAGAGAUCUGGAGGAAUACCGGUGGCGAAGGCGGCCCCCUGGACGAAGACUGACGCUCAGGUGCGAAAGCGUGGGGAGCAAACAGGAUUAGAUACCCUGGUAGUCCACGCCGUAAACGAUGUCGACUUGGAGGUUGUGCCCUUGAGGCGUGGCUUCCGGAGCUAACGCGUUAAGUCGACCGCCUGGGGAGUACGGCCGCAAGGUUAAAACUCAAAUGAAUUGACGGGGGCCCGCACAAGCGGUGGAGCAUGUGGUUUAAUUCGAUGCAACGCGAAGAACCUUACCUGGUCUUGACAUCCACGGAAGUUUUCAGAGAUGAGAAUGUGCCUUCGGGAACCGUGAGACAGGUGCUGCAUGGCUGUCGUCAGCUCGUGUUGUGAAAUGUUGGGUUAAGUCCCGCAACGAGCGCAACCCUUAUCCUUUGUUGCCAGCGGUCCGGCCGGGAACUCAAAGGAGACUGCCAGUGAUAAACUGGAGGAAGGUGGGGAUGACGUCAAGUCAUCAUGGCCCUUACGACCAGGGCUACACACGUGCUACAAUGGCGCAUACAAAGAGAAGCGACCUCGCGAGAGCAAGCGGACCUCAUAAAGUGCGUCGUAGUCCGGAUUGGAGUCUGCAACUCGACUCCAUGAAGUCGGAAUCGCUAGUAAUCGUGGAUCAGAAUGCCACGGUGAAUACGUUCCCGGGCCUUGUACACACCGCCCGUCACACCAUGGGAGUGGGUUGCAAAAGAAGUAGGUAGCUUAACCUUCGGGAGGGCGCUUACCACUUUGUGAUUCAUGACUGGGGUGAAGUCGUAACAAGGUAACCGUAGGGGAACCUGCGGUUGGAUCACCUCCUUACCUUAAAGAAGCGUACUUUGUAGUGCUCACACAGAUUGUCUGAUAGAAAGUGAAAAGCAAGGCGUUUACGCGUUGGGAGUGAGGCUGAAGAGAAUAAGGCCGUUCGCUUUCUAUUAAUGAAAGCUCACCCUACACGAAAAUAUCACGCAACGCGUGAUAAGCAAUUUUCGUGUCCCCUUCGUCUAGAGGCCCAGGACACCGCCCUUUCACGGCGGUAACAGGGGUUCGAAUCCCCUAGGGGACGCCA
rnacentral:misc_RNA from 1 species